AAUCCAUAGGUUAAUGAGGCGAACCGGGGGAACUGAAACAUCUAAGUACCCCGAGGAAAAGAAAUCAACCGAGAUUCCCCCAGUAGCGGCGAGCGAACGGGGAGGAGCCCAGAGCCUGAAUCAGCAUGUGUGUUAGUGGAAGCGUCUGGAAAGGCGCGCGAUACAGGGUGACAGCCCCGUACACAAAAGCGCAUGUGCUGUGAGCUCGAUGAGUAGGGCGGGACACGUGGUAUCCUGUCUGAAUAUGGGGGGACCAUCCUCCAAGGCUAAAUACUCCUGACUGACCGAUAGUGAACCAGUACCGUGAGGGAAAGGCGAAAAGAACCCCGGCGAGGGGAGUGAAAAAGAACCUGAAACCGUGUACGUACAAGCAGUGGGAGCCCCACCACCAAAGCAUUCUCUGGUGUUGAAGGCCCUGCAAAGCAGCAUCGCGGUGGCGGAGCGUCGUUUGCGACGCCCAACACACAAAACAAGCGGUGAGUGCUUUGGGGUGGGGUGACUGCGUACCUUUUGUAUAAUGGGUCAGCGACUUAUAUUCUGUAGCAAGGUUAACCGAAUAGGGGAGCCGGAGGGAAACCGAGUCUUAAUUGGGCGUUAAGUUGCAGGGUAUAGACCCGAAACCCGGUGAUCUAGCCAUGGGCAGGUUGAA
rnacentral:rRNA from 1 species